rnacentral:rRNA from 1 species
UACGGAGGGGGCAAGCGUUAUUCGGAAUUAUUGGGCGUAAAGGGCGCGUAGGCGGCUAGAUGUGUCAAAGGUGAAAUCCCUCGGCUCAACUGAGGAACUGCCUUUGAAACUGUCUAGCUUGAGGCCGGGAGAGGGUAGCGGAAUUCCCAGUGUAGCGGUGAAAUGCGUAGAUAUCGGGAGGAACACCAGUGGCGAAGGCGGCUUCCUGGCCUGUUCUUGACGCUGAGGCGCGAAAGCUAGGGUAGCAAACGGG